GCGACUAAAGGCUACACAAGCGUUCUGUCGUUAUCGGAAAAUGUAUGGCUUAUAAGUUGUCAUUACUCAUUAGUGAAUGCGCGUAUACAUGAAACUGUUUUUUACAGUUUCAGUAUUAGUUUGUAAAUCUCUGAAUGGUAAAACUUGCCAAUACUCCAAUAAUACGUUUCAAAAAAAGACAAAAAAGCUUUAGUUUUGAAGUGUUAAAUUCUCAAACGUGUAAGGCAAUAAUAAGAUGAAAGUAUCACGAAAUUAUUUGAAUAAACCACAUCGCAUAUAUGGGGGGCGAAUGUCCUAAAGAGGAGCGAUAUUCCUAGGGUAUUCGCCCCACCCCCCUGGGAGGCGAUAUUCCUAGGAUAUUCGCCCCCGGGGGCGAUAUUCCUAGGAAUAUCGCCACGUUUUGAGGGGGGGGGGGGCGAAUUUCCUGGGAGGGGCGACCUUUUUAAAAAUUCUAUCUUGCCCCCCCCAAAAUUUGAGUUUGCCCCUCAAAUGCCCCCCCAAAUUUGGAAGCCUGGCGCCGCCACUGGCUAU